AAGAGCAUUUUCGGGUCAGUCCCACGAUCGAAAGCAUUUUCGGGUCAGUCCCAUGAUCAAGAGCAUUUUCGGGUCAGUCCCAUGAUCAAAAGCAUUUUCGGGUCAGUCCCAUGAUCAAAAGCUUAUACGGGUCAGUCCCAUGAUCAAAAGCUUAUUCGGGUCAGUCCCACGAUUCAAAGCUUAUGCGGGUCAGUCCCACAAUUCAAAGCCUGUUCGGGUCAGUCCCGCGAUUCAAAGCUUAUUCGGGUCAGUCCCGCGAUUAAAGUUUGUUCGGGCCAGUCCCAUGAUUUGAAUUUCCCUCUCUAGUCAGUCCCAAUUUUAAUUUUUCUAUUCGGAUCAGUCCCGCUUUAAAUUUCUGUCUGGGUCUAUCCCAUUUAAAUUUCUGACUGGGUCUAUCCCAUUUAAAUUUCUGUCUGGGUCUAUCCCAUUUAAAUUUCUGACUGGGUCUAUCCCAUUUAAAUUUCUGUCUGGGUCUAUCCCAUUUAAAUUUCUGUUCAGGUCUAUUCCGUGGGUCUAUCCCAUUUACAUUCCUGUCCGGGUCAGUCCCGUUUUCAGUCCAUGUUCGGGUCAGUCCCGUUUUAAAUCCAUGUUCGGGUCAGUCCCGCUUUAAGUUCCUGUUUGGGCCAAUCCUGUCUUUAAACUUCCAGUUCGGGUCUAUCCUGUUUUAAAUUUCUCGUCCGAGUCAGUCUCAUUAAAAGGAGUCAGUCCUCAUGUCAAUAACAGCAGUCGUUCGAGUAGCUGAAGCCGAAUGACCCAGGUAAGUAUUUGGUGUCUACUUCUUUGUCUCAAGUUUUUUCAAAACUCAGACAAAGAGGGGCAAACUGUAGACACCAAAUUUUUGGUGUAAUUUCAUUUACUGUUUAUUUUUAUUUUUUUAUUUGUCGUGUUAGUUUUAUUCGAUUUUUAGUUUUUAGUUUAUAGUUUUAUUUUUAUUUUUUAAGUUUUUAGCAUAGAAUUUCUUGAAAUAAAAAAAAAA
rnacentral:lncRNA from 1 species